ACUGAAAAUGCUUAGAUGAGCUUCCUAGCUCCAUAAACA
rnacentral:tRNA from 1 species